UACGUAGGGGCCUAGCGUUGUCCGGAUUUACUGGGCGUAAAGAGCUCGUAGGCGGUUUGUCGCGUCUGCUGUGAAAACGCGAGGCUCAACCUCGCGCCUGCAGUGGGUACGGGCAGACUAGAGUGCGGUAGGGGAGAUUGGAAUUCCUGGUGUAGCGGUGGAAUGCGCAGAUAUCAGGAGGAACACCGAUGGCGAAGGCAGAUCUCUGGGCCGUAACUGACGCUGAGGAGCGAAAGCGUGGGGAGCGAACAGG
rnacentral:rRNA from 1 species